rnacentral:lncRNA from 13 species
AAAUGCCCAUCGAGGAUAGACUGGAUUGGGAAAAUGUGGCACAUAUACACCAUGGAAUAUUAUGCAGCAAUCAGAAAUGAUGAGUUCGUGUGGUUUGUAGGGACAUGGAUGAAUCUGGAGAACAUCAUUCUCAGCAAACUGACACAAGAACAGAAAAUGAAACACCGCAUAUUCUCACUCAUAGGCGGGUGAUGAAAAAUGGGAACACGUGGACACAGAGAGGGGAGUACUAAACAUGGGGGUCUAUGGGGGGAAAGGGGAGGGCCAGUGGGAGGGGGAGGUGGGGAGGGAUUGCCUGGGGAGAAAUGCCAAAUGUGGGUGAAGGGGAGAAAGCAAACAAAGCACACUGCUAUCUGUGUACCUAUGCAACCAUAUUGCAUGCUCUGCACAUGUACCCCAAAACCUAAAAUGCAAUAAUAAAUAAAAAAAAAUAAUAAAAAUAAAAAUAAAUAAAUAAAUAAAAAUAAAAUUAAAUUUAAAAAAAAACAUUAUUACCACCAUCCUUUCUCUCUCUCUCUCUCUCUCUCUCUUUCUCUCUCUCUGUGUCUCUCUCUCUCUCCCUCUCUCUCUCUCUCUCUCUCUCUCUCUCUCUCUCUCUCUCCCUCCUCAAACUGCAGAAUAGAGAGCAUGCAUUUGCAUGUAGGAGGCUGGCAGGGAAGGGAGCCAAGUAUGUCAUAGCAGAGGAGGAGGGUCUACAUACUUCCUUGUAUUAAAAAGAGAAACUCAGAUGAUGCUCCAAAGCACACAGCAAAGGAGAGGAAGAAGGCAGUAAGGCAUUUCAUAAGCAGAGCUGAGCCAGCAGGGCAGCAAGGCAGAGAGGGACUGAGACUGUGCAUGGCAGUAUCCCAGUGGCUGGAGAUUCAAGUCUUUGAGGGAUUGCAGUAUGACUCCAUUUCCCCGGUGCAUUCACGUAAUAGUUCACUUGGUGAAAACAAUGAAGAUUAUUUACAAUGCUACCCUGCUUUUUCUGAUGUCCUGCACCUGGAAGAUGUGCUUCUUAAGGUAAUCUCUUUACCAAAAACUGUUAAGAGGAGGAGGAGGAAAAAAGUUGGUUUUGACACAUUAAAAAGUAGCCAAACAAAACACAAAAAGAUAGCAGCAAAUGAUAAAAUCGAAACUACUUUCUACAUUAUAUGAAAACAUACUCAUAAUAAUGUAAUCUGAAGAAAUGUUUUUUUAGAUUCACUUGUAAUUACCUUAUAGUUUAUAUUAUUACUGUGAAAUAUAUCAUCUUUUUAACUACAUUUUCUAAUUAUUUAUGGUAAAUGGGAACAUGAUUGACAUUUUUGUAUAUUGAUUUUAUAUUCUGUAGCCUUCUUGAAUUCUGUUUAUUCUAAUAAUUUAUAGAUUUUCUUGGAUUAUCUGUUAAUUGUAUUUUGAAUAAUGACAGUUUCUUUCCAAUAUUUCUUUAGCUUGUAUUACUGUGCUAGCUAGGAUUUUUAGUUCAAAGAUGAACAAGAGCAUUGGUGGAGGAUUUCCUUAUUUUGUUCCGAAAUUCUACAAAAGUUUCACCUUUUUUAGUAGAUUGUCUUUUUCAAGUUAGGGAAGUUUCUUUAUAUUCCUAAUCUGAUGAGAGUUUUUAUUACAAAUAUUACAAAGUUUCUUCCCAUCUAUAUGUACUGACAUUUUCAUAUCCUUUUUCUACCAUUAAUAUCAUAGUGUGACCAUGUCAUAAAUUACAAUAAUCAAUUUUCUAAUAUAUUUCUUGCUUUUGCUUUUAUCAAGCCUCACCAUUGGAUAUUUUUUCUAUUUUAAUAAUUUUUACUUUUUAUAUUGAACAUUCUUCUUUUGUUGUUUUCUUUUUAAUUUAUUGAGUUCUUCUCAAUAAAUGUUCUUCUGUAAGGUAAGAAUUUAGAACU